GGCUGAACUUCUACAGGGUGAGCCAUCUCCUUAUCUCUGGUUCAUCACAAGUGAAAUGUGAAAGUGAAACUGCGAAGUACGGAGCACAUAAAUAAAAUAUUCUCUAGUUUUUCGUUUGAAUCAAAUUUACAGUUGAAAAUGCCAAAUGCCAAAAGUGGUCUCAAGAAGUAUUGUUGUUUCAGACACAAAAGAUCAAGAAGGAAAACCUCUCCAAUCCUAUUACUGUUUGUUUGAUUCCCUGUUAGAUAAAUUGCCACUGAGAAAAAGGAAUGGCUCUUGUGUCAUUAUUGGUUCCAAUUUCCAAACAGGUGAACAAAACAAACUGUGGUCCUGAUGAGAUGGUUUACAUUAGAUGUGAAGAAGUCAUUGAAAACAGCAUAAAUGAUUUUGUAGCAAGUGUGGCCGUCAACUAUACCACAAGCAAAACCCAAACAGCAAUAUAACUUAUUAUAAUUGCUGCUUCAGAGAGUCAGGUGAAGGAAGUUAAGAAACGUGUUGAAUGCAUCAUGUGUAGCUGUAAGGUGCUGAAAAACAACCACAGAAGACACUCGUAACAAAACAGAACAAGGAUAUGGUAUUUAAGAUAGUAGGUUAAGUUAACUUAUUAGUUGAUUGAUUGAUAUGAUUAUGAUUAUUUGUUCAGGGUAAAUUCUCUUCUGCCACUGUGUCUUCUAUCGAAGAUGAAGACAAAAUCGAUGAGCGAGAAGUGUCCGAGCCGUAAGCUAAUAACGUGCGAUUUAUUGAGAAACAAAAAUUUUGCAAGGAAAGGAGUUUUGAAACGCAAGACGGACAUUCCUGAAGUUGAAACACCAAAAAACUUGUUCGAGGAACGUUAAUCUAUAAGUGCAAUUUGCUGUUUUAAGUAUGUGACCAAUAUUUCCUUCAUUUUCGAAUUUUUUGUUCUAAUUUUGUAAUAAAUGCCUUUUAGAAACACCGCAAGUUAAAAACACAGCUCACUUUUGAGGUUAUAUGUAAAAAUGCAAAUAAGUUUCUUAAUUUUCAAUACAGUGAAUUUGUCUGA